rnacentral:misc_RNA from 1 species
CGCCACCUCCCCCAAUUCAUUCUUUCUCCUCGCAUACUGACAGACGCAGCCUCCAUUUCAUUUUUCAGUCUUGGUCUCAACAUCUCUCUUUCUUGCUCUCCUCGUGGCCGUCCUCUCGUCUGCUUCUUGCCUUUCACGUCAGCUCGUCGCCUUCCUCAUCAGCUCGUCGUCCAUGUACUUGUCCUCGUCGAUUAUGUCUCAGAGACCCAAAUUCACUAUCGAUCCGGCCUCUGGCUUAUAGUUAGUGUCGGCUUGCACUUUGCGACGAAAACAGAUCGACUUUGCAACAAAUAUUAGACUUCCUUCUCCUUGCAUGUUGGCCUGUUGGGUUUUGAAUUUUUUGUUCAUUCUGUUCAUUAUUAGAUUGUUUAGUUUGUUGCUUGUUAAUUGAUAUGAAAGUGUCUCUGAG